rnacentral:rRNA from 1 species
GACGAACGCUGGCGGCGUGCCUAAUACAUGCAAGUGGGACGCAAGAGAACACACUGUGCUUGCACACCGUGUUUUCUUGAGUCGCGAACGGGUGAGUAACGCGUAGGUAACCUGCCUAUUAGCGGGGGAUAACUAUUGGAAACGAUAGCUAAUACCGCAUAAUAUUAAUUAUUGCAUGAUAAUUGAUUGAAAGAUGCAAGCGCAUCACUAGUAGAUGGACCUGCGUUGUAUUAGCUAGUUGGUAAGGUAAGAGCUUACCAAGGCGACGAUACAUAGCCGACCUGAGAGGGUGAUCGGCCACACUGGGACUGAGACACGGCCCAGACUCCUACGGGAGGCAGCAGUAGGGAAUCUUCGGCAAUGGACGAAAGUCUGACCGAGCAACGCCGCGUGAGUGAAGAAGGUUUUCGGAUCGUAAAGCUCUGUUGUAAGUCAAGAACGUGUGUGAGAGUGGAAAGUUCACACAAGAGACG